rnacentral:rRNA from 1 species
AAUAUUGCACAAUGGAGGGAACUCUGAUGCAGCAACGCCGCGUGAGUGAAGAAGGUCUUCGGAUCGUAAAACUCUGUCAUUGGGGAAGAAUAAAUGACGGUACACAAUGACGAAGCUCCGGCUAACUACGUGCUAUCAGCCGCGGUAAUACGUAGGGGGCGAGCGUUGUCCGGAAUUACUGGGCGUAAAGGGUACGUAGGCGGCUAUAUAAGUCAGGUGUGAAAUACCAGUGCUUAACACUGGAAUUGCAUUUGAAACUGUGUAGCUUGAGUGCAGGAGAGGAAAGUGGAAUUCCUAGUGUAGCGGUGAAAUGCGUAGAGAUUAGGAGGAACACCAGUGGCGAAGGCGACUUUCUGGACUGUAACUGACGCUGAGGUACGAAAGCGUGGGGAUCAAACA